AGCGAACGUUAGCGGCAGGCCUAACACAUGCAAGUCGAGCGAGAAAGGGGCUUCGGUCCUGAGUAAAGCGGCGGACGGGUGCGUAACACGUGGACAAUCUGCCCUCCGGCGGGGGACAACAGUUCGAAAGGACUGCUAAUACCGCAUACGUCUGUGAGGACCUCGGUUCUUGCAGAGAAAGGGGGCGCCCGAAAGGGGCUCUCACCGGAGGAGGAGUCCGCGGCCCAUCAGCUAGUUGGCGGGGGAAUGGCCCACCAAGGCGAAGACGGGUGGAUGGGCUGAAAGGAUGACCAGCCAAAAUGGGACUGAGACACGGCCCAGACUCCUACGGGAGGCAGCAGUGGGGAAUAUUGGACAAGGGGCGAAAGCCUGAUCCAGCCAUGCCGCGUGAGUGAUGAAGGCCUUCGGGUCGUAAAGCUCUGUGGGGAGGGAAGAAAAGCAGGGUGCUAAUACCACCUUGAAUUGACGGUACCUCCUUAGCAAGCACCGGCUAACUCCGUGCCAGCAGCCGCCGUAACAC
rnacentral:rRNA from 1 species